UUUAAUUAUAAUAAUAGUAUCGGGGCGGAUGUA
rnacentral:tRNA from 1 species